CUGUGAUGCCCUUAGAUGUUCUGGGCCGCACGCGCGCUACACUGAUUAAUCCAACGAGUCCGCUUCAAUCGAGGCGCAGCGCCGGUGCGGGGUCAAACCCGUACCGCGCGUUGCUGUCCUCGAUCGCGCCUGGGCCGAUAGGUCCGGGUAAUCUUUGCAAAUUUAAUCGUGCUGGGGAUAGAUCAUUGUAAUUAUUGAUCUUCAACGAGGAAUUCCUAGUAAGCGCGAGUCAUC
rnacentral:rRNA from 2 species